rnacentral:rRNA from 1 species
CAGGAUGAACGCUGGCGGCGUGCCUAAUACAUGCAAGUCGAGCGAAUGGAUUAAGAGCUUGCUCUUAUGAAGUUAGCGGCGGACGGGUGAGUAACACGUGGGUAACCUGCCCAUAAGACUGGGAUAACUCCGGGAAACCGGGGCUAAUACCGGAUAACAUUUUGAACCGCAUGGUUCGAAAUUGAAAGGCGGCUUCGGCUGUCACUUAUGGAUGGACCCGCGUCGCAUUAGCUAGUUGGUGAGGUAACGGCUCACCAAGGCAACGAUGCGUAGCCGACCUGAGAGGGUGAUCGGCCACACUGGGACUGAGACACGGCCCAGACUCCUACGGGAGGCAGCAGUAGGGAAUCUUCCGCAAUGGACGAAAGUCUGACGGAGCAACGCCGCGUGAGUGAUGAAGGCUUUCGGGUCGUAAAACUCUGUUGUUAGGGAAGAACAAGUGCUAGUUGAAUAAGCUGGCACCUUGACGGUACCUAACCAGAAAGCCACGGCUAACUACGUGCCAGCAGCCGCGGUAAUACGUAGGUGGCAAGCGUUAUCCGGAAUUAUUGGGCGUAAAGCGCGCGCAGGUGGUUUCUUAAGUCUGA